rnacentral:misc_RNA from 1 species
AAUAGAUGCUCCUUUUGCCUGGAAAUAUCAAAUUUAAAUGAAAACGUUAUUUUGCUUCAAAUGAAGAUAUAAACAUGCUCUAUCUUCCUUAGUGCUUCCAUUAAAAGGAGGGUGCACUCUUUCAAUUCUAGAAAAUUCUAAUUAGCAGCUCAGACCCAGAAAAUGAUAUGAUACAUCAUACUAAAAUUUAAAAAAAAAAAAUCCUCACUGUAAUGGAAGAAAUUUCAGCAUAAACAGUAGAACGAUAAAUGGGGAUAAUUUGAAGUUUAUUUAAGAUUUUGGAACUCUAAUCAGCUAUGAAAUAAUAAGAACAUA